UUCGGAAAAACUCUUAAUGUUCAGUCAGCCAAAGGGAAUGAAACUCCUUUGAUUUGUCCGCAUUUACUUCUUUUAGUUAUUCACUUGCUUAAGUCGGCGCAAAGCUGACGCUUCUUUACUUGGCGUUUCCAUCCAGCUGGCCUGUCUGAGUGAAGAGAAGGCUCUACUUCUAGAUGUGGUAGAAGCUGAAAAAUCAGCCCCGUCUGCUACUUCUCCCUCCGGGAAGCCGAGAAGCGGCUCAUCUCGAGUCUAGCCGUUUUUACCGCGGAAGGCGAGGGCUUCAGCCUACACGCCGCAUUCGAUAAUUUGGACGUCGACAUUCCUAAGGAUUUUUCAGCAACUUCCUCCGUAGAGAUCCCCCACAUGCCCAUCAGAACAAUUAAACAAGCAAGGCCCAAAGGCAGAACUGGUGCAGACGAUCUAUCCGCUUCUGGAAUCCCCUACAACCAGGUGGAGCCAACUGAGCAUGUGCAAACUGCUGAGCAUGCUCAGAACUCAUUCCAGCCCAGGAGCCAACGGGGGUGGACCUCUCCCUUUGUGCUUCAGGGCCAGGCCUGGGCCCAGGCCUGUGGAGCUCUGAAGAGUCUUCUAGAAGCCCCCCUGGUACUGGAACACUUACCAGGAGGCGAAGGCUGCAGAAUGGGGCCAGAAAAGUCCGAAAAUGCUGAGAAUCGCCUGGAGGGGCCGACCGCUGGCCCUGAAGACUCCGGAGGAGGCAUCCAUCUUGGGAGGUGAGAGGCUCAGCUGGAGGCCCCCUGAAGUCAUCCAGGCGAACUGCCCCAGCGGGACCGGCUUUUUCACAUCGAAGAUUCAACAGCCAGCACAAGACUCCUUUGAAGUCUCCAGAAUCCUUCGUUGGGAGAUGGCCGUAUGCUCGCUGGCGAAGCAGCUUCAGCCAAGGACCCACAAGAGGGCAGACAAGACCCAGUAACUCCGCGGACGGCCGAGGAAAACAACGCCUGACAGGCAAGUAAUCAUUUAAACGGGGAAAAGAUAGAACUGUCUAUU